UAGGGUUGUGUUAGGAUUGUUAGU
rnacentral:siRNA from 1 species